UCACACAAAUCAUAAGACGUUAUCCUGUUACUCCCGAGAUACAAAAUGUACCAAAAAGCCAAAUCAACCAAUUAAAACCUGGCUUCAAUUCACCCUCAGUUAUUCAAAGACGAAGUGAUGUGGCAUACAACCGCCCUGGACACAAAGCUUUUCCUGACGGCAAGAAGAUUCACCAAGCAAACUCUGAUUCUGUAUUCUCCACAGGUGCAGUUCAGGUUCCAUCACAAAUCUAUAAUACCAGAAUGAGGUCGACAGGAAGUUUUUCACCUGUUCAGGUUGACAAAGUCCCAUUUAGCCUUAGACACAACAACAAAGGGGCGCCAUUCUACUCCCACGGCAAUAAACAAAGUCUAAAUAUUCAAGCUGUCAAGUCUCAGAAGAUGCACGUAAACCCCAUCGAACAAAAUAUAUAUCCACAGGAGUCACGUCUCACAACCAGACCCAAAAGUUUCAAUCAGGGCAGAACAAACUUUUUACAAACAGUUUUAAAACCCAAAGACAAGCAGACUGACUCAGUCGUGGAGGGACAAUCUCCUGACAGAAAUUCAGCAGGAAAAAGUGACACAAAGACUUCUUUUCCAGCAUGGAGUCCCAGGGCCUAUAGCAGCGCGAUAUGACGUCUGAAGCCAGAGGAUACACUCACGUCCGUCGCCUCAAGCCUGCCUUUGACAAAAAAACGCCCCAAGCUAGUUCUAGAAAGAUAUGGGAAACAGGUUUUUCACAUGUAAUACACAAUUCAGGCGGUUACAACCAUGAUUCAACAAAACCAGGGUUUGAUCAUCCAGCAUCAAGUGAAAGGCAGCAAAAUUAUAAUUUCGGAGGAAGCAGACCCAGCUGGCGUCCUGCCCCACCAGACCGAGCACCAAGUCCUGUCCAAGGCAAAUUCAAACCUUUCCAAACACAUCCUACAAAUGAUGCUACUCACACAUCAGACAGUGAACUCAUUCCCCGUCAGACAACCCUUCCUCCUAGUUUGAACUCUACUUCAUCAAUCGUUCCUUCAGUCACCGCAGAAUGGAGCACAAAGUCUGCUUCACCCACACCGACAGCGGGCCGAGAUGCAGAGCUUACACCUCAAGCAUCAAACCACGAAGGCCACAUUGAGAGUUCAACAGAAAUUGGAUCUUCCUAGAUUCCUUCCAAGAUUUCUAAAUAUCAUGAAUCCAUCAACCUGGAGUUUAAACUGACCUACCACAUGAUGCUUUCACAAACAUGGGUGGCAACAACAGCAAGAGGAUUUUAAACCAACCAGGAGAUUGGCCGCUUGACCAGAAAGAGUAUGAACCUGAAUAAAAACAUUUAAAACUUUG